UAGUAGUAUUGAAAUCUUUGGAUAUACAAAAACAUCAAAUGAAGCACAGAGAUGGCUCUAAUACCGACAACAAAGUCCAAGAUCAGUAAUCUUCUGAGCAUCUUAACAGCAACCCACAAAACGCCCAGUUUGGCUUCUGCUUCGUACUCUAAUGGCGCUGCGAGAAAGUUUCGGGUCGCUCCAUUUGGAGGUUCGGGUCGGUCAUUAUCGUCCUCGGUAGCUCCUCUGGAGUCGGACAUGGUGAGUUUGAAGGAUUACGAGGAGUAUAGGAAGGCUCUGUAUGGUGGCAUCACUCACAAGGCUCUCUUGGUUGAUGCUGUUGGCACUCUUGUUCUCCCCUCUCAGCCCAUGGCCCAGAUUGGUGAGAAAUAUGGCAUUCAGUACUCAGAAACUAAGAUAUUAAACAGAUACAGGAAGGCUUAUGAGCAGCCUUGGGGCAGAUCUCGACUCAGAUAUGUUAACGAUGGGAGACCAUUCUGGCAAUAUAUAGUCAGUUCUUCAACUGGCUGUUCGGAUUCUCAGUACUUUGAGGAGUUGUACAAUUAUUAUACCACUAAAAAGGCAUGGCACCUCUGUGAUCCUGAUGCGGAAAAAGUAUUUAAGACCCUAAGGAAUGCAGGUGUAAAAUUGGCUGUUGUGUCAAACUUUGACACUCGAUUGAGGCCUGUUUUGCGGGCUCUAAAUUGUGAUUACUGGUGUGAUACUGUGGCAGUAUCAGCUGAAGUUGAAGCAGAGAAGCCAAAUCCGACCAUAUUUAUAAAAGCUUGUGAGUUGUUGGGAGUAAAGCCUGAGGAUGUUGUUCAUGUGGGGGAUGAUUGUAGAAACGAUAUAUGGGGUGCUAGAGAUGCAGGUUGUGAUGCUUGGCUAUGGAGAAGUGAUGUACAUUCCUUCAAAGAGUGAUAGAGAGAGAACUGGACCAGUCGAAACAGAGAGCAAGCACCAGUCGAAACAGAGAGAGAAGGCAGCUUGAUGUCGCUAUGACCUAACCUCGCGAGUCUAGCAAUGGCAGCGACUCAACUUCACGAGUCCAACGACAGAUCACGAACCAGAGAAGAUUCAAAAGACAGGACGGAGUCGUGAUGGCUGAAGACGAUCGCGGGGUGAGUCGUGAUGGCUGUGGACGACGGUGGAAGAUGAUCGCGACUUGAAUCAGAAGCACGGUGAUGACGUUCGCGAACCAAAAGGACCAGAACUGAGCCGCGACGAAGCACGGGCUGAAGCUGAUCUCGAGUUGCCGAUGAUGACUAAAGACGUGACCCACGAACCAGAGAGACCCACGAACCCUAAGUCGCGACCGUGAAGAAGACCAAAGAACAGAGACGACUUCGAACAAUCGGCGACAACUUCGAACAACAAGCGUGGACUUAGGGUUUCGAACAAGGCUUUGAUACCAUGUUGCUCAAAGGAUAGGAGUUCGGGUCUGAAUAGGACUAUUCCCUUCCAACAACUUGACGAGGGCUUUCUUUCAUUGUAUAUAUAGAGAGGCUUCUUAUCCAGUAUUUCUUCAUAACCAGUUGUAUAUAUUCUGCUUUUCUGUAAUCUGUAUGAGAGAUAUCAGAGAUGAAUAUACAAUUACUUUAACUUCAGAAUAAAUGGCAAUAAAAGAACAUUUUUAGUGAGA